GUCUCGGUUUCUUGGCGUGUGUGUGUGUGUGUGUGUGUGUGUGUGUGUGUGUGUGUGUGUCCCCCACCCUCUUCACCGCCAAGGGGCUCUAAAUCCACCAGGAUAAAACAGCCCCGAGCCUCCGCCUCCUUCCUUCCCCCUGCCGGGAACACCCUUCCCAACACCCAGGUCGGAAGAAGGGACCCCCGGCCCGGCCCGGCGCGAGGCUCGCAGGGCUCCCAGGCGCGCAGCUCCCACUUUGCCCAACUUGUGGGCGCCCGGGCUGCAGCGCGCAGGCUCCGCGGCCCCAACAAAGAUUUCCAGCUUCUCUGGGAAAUUCAGAAGAUCUCUCAAAACACAGCCCAUAUGGCAUGGGUAGGAAUGGUGAGUAGGAGAGGGGCGGCUGCUAUCCCCAGGCCUGCUCUCCUGGCCCAGGACUUUCCCCACUGCAUACAAUGCAUGUGCGUGCAUUCACAGCUCACCUGUUUUAUGGAGAGCCUGACCCAGUGACCAGCUGACACUCAGGGACAGGAAGGCUGAGGGGUGAUUUUGCUACCCUCUAAUGGGCUUUCAUGGAGAAGCCAUGGCAGGGAGCAGGAAUUCCUGACUCCUUCAAGGGCUCUUCUAGCUGCACUAAGAAUCAAAUUACCAUGAGACAGAUUAACAGGAGAAAAUCAAAUUUAAUAGCGGACAUACAGGGAAUCCACACAGACGUGGAAAUUUCCAAGACGGUCAGGCAAAAUGGGGUAUAUGUGUCAUUUUGAGCUAAGGAGAAGGGGGUAGGGGUCUGGGACUUCAGAGGGAAGGAAUAUGAGAAGAAGAACAGAUAUUUGAUGAUUGGCUGUUUGCCUGGCUAUACAGAUGGCCACUCAGAUAAAAUUUAUCUCUGCUAAUAACCCUUAUUCUGGAAAGACCCUCCAGUGUAGAUUCUUCUAUGUAGUUAAGGGAAAAACAAAAGUUUCUCUUGAGCUUUAGGGUCUCACUUGCCUUCAGCUCAAAAUAAUCUACAUGCCAAAGUAGCCCAUUCUGGGGUGUGGGGAAACUGUCCCAAACCCUUUCAGCUCCAUCUGUUUAAGGAAAAUGGGCUUACAGCAAAGAAUGGGAAUGGGUAACUGGGGACAAUGAGUGUUUCCAAUUUCUUGGAAAUACUCUGAGAAGGAUGGAGUGCUAUUUUUGUCUCAGUGGUUUAAACAUUUGGUGGCCUUGAGGUAAGAAGCUAAACCACAUGAUAAAGAAGAGGUCGUAUGUGUGUAUAUAUAGAGACCAUACACACACACACACAAAGAUAUAUACAUAGAUAUACACAAUGGAAUACUACACGGCCAUAAAAAAGAAUGAAAUCUUGCCAAUGGCAGCAACAUGGAGGGUAUAAGGCUAAGUGAAAUAAGUCAGACAAAGACUUAUAUGAUUAUAAGACAAAUAUGUCUUAUAUGAUUAUAAGACAAAUAUGUCUUAUAUGAUUAUAAGACAAAUAUGUCUUAUAUGAUUAUAAGACAAAUAUGUCUUAUAU
rnacentral:lncRNA from 1 species